UACGGGGGGGGCAAGCGUUGUUCGGAAUUACUGGGCGUAAAGGGCUCGUAGGCGGCCAACUAAGUCGGAUGUGAAAUCCCCAAGCUUAACUUGGGAACUGCAUCCGAUACUGGAUGGCUUGAAUCCGGGAGAGGGAUGCAGAAUUCCAGGUGUAGCGGUGAAAUGCGUAGAUAUCGAGAGGAACACCUGCGGCGAAGGCGGGUUGCUGGGCUGACACUGACGCUGAGGCGCGAAAGCUAGGGGAGCGAACAGG
rnacentral:rRNA from 1 species